AGAUUGAACGCUGGCGGCAGGCCUAACACAUGCAAGUCGAGCGGUAGAGAGGUGCUUGCACCUCUUGAGAGCGGCGGACGGGUGAGUAAUGCCUAGGAAUCUGCCUAGUGGUGGGGGGGAUAACGUUCGGAAACGGACGCUAAUACCGCAUACGUCCUACGGGAGAAAGCGGGGGACCUUCGGGCCUCGCGCCAUUAGAUGAGCCUAGGUCGGAUUAGCUAGUUGGUGAGGUAAUGGCUCACCGAGGCGACGAUCCGUAACUGGUCUGGAGAGGAUGAUCAGUCACACUGGAACGGAGACACGGUCCAGACUCCUACGGGACGG
rnacentral:rRNA from 1 species